UUGCUCACUUUGGCAGCACAUAUACUAAAAUUGGAACGAUACCAAGAAGAUUAGCAUGGCCCCUGCGCAAGGAUGACACGUAAAUUCAUGAAGUGUUCCAUAUUUAA
ensembl:snRNA U6 U6 spliceosomal RNA